CCUUCGCUGCCCGGCCCGUCAGGACAUCUUUCCCCGGGGCCUUACAGACUUCGUAGGGAGCUGCCUCUGGCCGGGACCGUGGUCCCUUUCACGCGGCGCCCACCUGUACCUUCGGGUCCAGGGCGAAUCACAUGUCCAACGGCCGGUGCGGCUCAUUG
rnacentral:other from 1 species